GAUGAACGCUGGCGGCGUGCCUAAUACAUGCAAGUCGAGCGAACAGACGAGGAGCUUGCUCCUUUGACGUUAGCGGCGGACGGGUGAGUAACACGUGGGUAACCUACCUAUAAGACUGGGAUAACUUCGGGAAACCGGAGCUAAUACCGGAUAAUAUUUUGAACCGCAUGGUUCGAUAGUGAAAGAUGGCUUUGCUAUCACUUAUAGAUGGACCUGCGCCGCAUUAGCUAGUUGGUAAGGUAACGGCUUACCAAGGCAACGAUACGUAGCCGACCUGAGAGGGUGAUCGGCCACACUGGAACUGAGACACGGUCCAGACUCCUACGGGAGGCAGCAGUAGGGAAUCUUCCGCAAUGGGCGAAAGCUUGACGGAGCAACGCCGCGUGAGUGAUGAAGGUCUUCGGAUCGUAAAACUCUGUUAUUAGGGAAGAACAAACGUGUAAGUAACUGUGCACGUCUUGACGGUACCUAAUCAGAAAGCCACGGCUAACUACGUG
rnacentral:rRNA from 1 species